CUUAGGCAAAGAUCCAGACAAUAACCAAAAAUUAGUGUCAUUGCACUGUUGGAAGUCCAUUGUCUUUUUAUUAUUAUUAUUAUUAUUAUUUCUUUCUUAAUUUAUUUCGAUUAUAUUUAAAACGUUCACAGAAUCACGAGAAAAAUUUCUUUGGUGUCGCUAGCCGAUACGGCGCGAUUGUUAAUCUUAAUUAUUACGUAUUAGCAAAUAACGGUCGUCGAUUGGCUGUUAGAAUUUUCAAUUCUUCCCUGAUUAAUUACGCCCGUAUUUUACGGGAUGAAUAGUUUUAAAAAUAUUAAUUAUCCCAAAUUGUUAAUUAACCGUAAGGCUAUUUUUCUUUGGAUUUUAAUCUCGGUGUGCUUCUGUGCCAGGCAUUUAAAUGAAAUAAUUUCGACUUAUAACCUUUUAAGUAACGACUCCCUAUUCGGCGCGAGUCACGUGAUAUCGCGUGUUUACGUAGCGACGACGACGACGCCGCCGACCGUGAUUGGCGAUAGGCGACGAAACGGCAACAUCGAUUGGCGGGUUUAAAAUUUCGAAAACGAAAAAAACGGUUUUUCUCUCGAUAAACAGAUUUAUUAUAAUUAUUAUUUUUUUAUUAUUUUCUUCUUCUAAGCGUUUCGACUCGCGAUAUUUUUCGUUUCAGACAAUGGGGCGAGUUUCGAGUUUGCCCGGUAGUAUUAAAUUUCCGUUUAAUAUUUUUAAUCUACUCCUACAAGCGAAAAUUAGCAUUUGAAAGCCAUAUUUAAUGGAGGAACUUAUUUUAAAUUCGAGGCACCUGAUGAUGAUUUUUUUUUCUUUUCCCCCUUCCUUUGUUGUCACGUGACCGGAAGUGGCUUUAGGGCCGGAAAUCAUGUGCGUUUGACAGUUCGGUUAAUUGGAAGAGCGUGCUGACGUAAGACGUGUAAUUGGCCAAAGGUGGUCGCAUAAGCAGACUUACAAGGAAAAGGUGGAACUGGAGGGGGAAGGAAAAAAAAAAAAAAAAAACGAAAAUGAUGAAGCGCUUCCGUUCGUUAAGCAACAAAUUUUUGCAGAAUAUUUUUUUCGGAUUUCGACGCCAUUUUUGUAUUUGGAAAUUUUCCUCGAAUUGUCGCUUUGCAUUUUUAUUUUAUUUUUUUUUUUUUCGAUGAUUUAUGUGAUCUUAGCCGUUACGUGACUGAUGCGAUUCUUGUUUUAACCGAUAAAUAUUACGCUCCCGUAAUAGGGUAUUGAACUGCGAUAUGGGUUUUUAGUCACUUCAUUCGUUUUGUUGCCUAAAAUUAUAAUAAAUCGAUAGAAGGACGAACUGGCAGAUAUCGGCAGAGAGAGAAAAGCGUGCAUACUACCGUUUUUAGUCGGAAUUCUUACUUGAAAAAAUAUAUAUGAAUAUAUAUCGCCAUGUUGGAACGU
rnacentral:lncRNA from 1 species